AGGAAUUAACUUAUCAGUAAGUCCGUGACAUUUUUUCUUGUUUGAUUUUUUCUAGUCUUUGUUUUCACAUUCCUUUUAGGACUAUAGACUCAAUUAUAGGGAGACGUUUAUCUAGGCGAUUAAAGUUUUGAUAUUGAAUAACAUUGAGUUGGUUGUAAGAGUUGAUUCGUUCCUCCCCAUACCCUCCCGCGUCAGAUUUAG
rnacentral:lncRNA from 1 species